CCUAGAUACUUAGACUCCUCCACUUGAGGCAGGCACUCUCCACCAACCUGAAGUGGGCAAGCCACCCUUUUCAGUCAGAAAGUCAAGAUCCAGCUCCAGAUAUAACCCCAGCUGAGGAAAUGGCCCUUGAUUUAAACCAAGGAAGGCCUGUGAUGGAAGGGAUUCAGGGUGGGACAGCUACAGGCUCUGUUCCACCUGCAGAAACGGCCCUCUUCAUACAAGUGUCCGGCGACACAGUUACUCUCCUGCCACCAGACGAUGAUCCAGGGGAAGGGGCUUCUGCAGCAUGGGAAGGGGCUGCUGCAGCUGAUGAUGAGGAGACUGGACUCCAGAAGGCCUGAGGUAUCAUGUGAAUCUUAUGGAAAUGCCUAUUUGGCCCAUAAUGGAUGACAAGUCAGUGAUGAAGCACUCAGAAAUGUAUGUAUGUAACAGGAUCCAGACGCAGUACAGUCUGACAGCCAGCCUGGCAACAUAGUAAGUAUGUAAGUAAUGGAAAUCUGAAUUAUGCACAAUUCCUGCUGUGCUAAUCAAUGGGUGGUUUACAGAAUUCACAAACUAAGAUGUCUGUAUACACGACAUCUGAACAGGCAAAUAGAGAUGCAGAGAUUGCUGUAAGCAAAAGGACUCUCCAGGAUCUGGACCUUGGUAUAGAAAUCAAGAAGAGGAAACUGGAUCUGGAGAUCCAGAAACUAAAACAAGAAGUGACUUCAAUCCACACUGCAAGCACAUCUGUAAAACUAUGUAUUAAUCAUGGUUUUCUUUCUCUCUCCCAAGCUCCAAACUGACAAGGGACAGCACUAAAAUAAAAAGCUUAAGAAGCAUUGUGAUGUUCUCUGUGUGAUGAAUGUAUUCUACACUAUGCAAAGUUAUUGGUUCAGUGAGGUGAGACGAAUAUUGA